UCCCCCGCGAACCCGUGCGUGCCGAUUCUCUCCUUGCGUUGAUUCCCCGAGCCUGCCCUAACUACUCCACCAACCGGCGCCACUUCUCUUCUUCUCUGCGCGCCGACACCGAUCCAGCGCCCCCCGAUCGAGCCACCUUCCCGAUCUUUCCUCCACUUCUUCUCCCGACGCCGAGUUCCUUGCCAAGCGCCGGCGACGCCCGAGCCUCUCCCUCUUCGUGAGUUGCUGCCGUCACCACUCACCGUGGAGAUUCCAGUCGCCGACGCCACUGAUGCUCCUCCUCAGCCCUAGCGCCGAUCGCCACCGUGCACCUCCGACUACUGUUGUCGGCCACUAGGUCCGACCCACCACAGAUCAUCUUCCCUUACUGUGCCCGUGCCCUAGUUUGGGUUCCCAGCUGUCGCCGCACCUCUGCAUCCCGGCCACCAGGAUUGUGUGCUGUGGGUUGCUGCUGUGGUGUUGGAAUUGUGAUCGUGAGAUGAAGUAGGACUUGUUGUGGGAUUGUUUUUGGUCUCCAGCAGCGACUAAUCCUUUCCAACAGUAAACUUCCUUGGUUGUGGAUUAACAGAAGCGAUUGAGAAGUAAGGACUCUGAUUUGCAAUGAGUUGCCUUACGUGGGAUUUCCUUUGGCACGCGCGAUAUUUGAGGCGGGU